rnacentral:lncRNA from 1 species
CUUUCCCAGAAAUCCCGGCAAAUCCGCCCUAGAGUUUUCGUUGGUCCAACCGGGCCACAGACUCCGGCCCGUCUGGUUAGGUGGGAUGCCUGAUUGGGCCAAACCUCUUAGGUCCCGCACCUAGAGCGGGGAGUAGCGUCUGCUUUUUUUUCCGCUGAGCGGAGGCCGCUAGGCUGGAGAGGGAGGGGAAGGUGUGUGGGGUCGGGUGAGAUGCUUUCCCCUCGUCCCGCAUGCGCCUGUAUUGGAGUGAUUUCAGUUAAAAGUCUCGUGAAACGUCACCAGUGAUGUAGUCACGGCCAGCAGCAGCUGCCUGACCCCGCCGAGGCCUUCCGUCUGGCAACAUGUGGGGCGCCGCAAUGCUUGAGGCCACGGCGAGGGCAACGCCGGCCGCGCCCCGUGGAAACCGCGUGGCGGAGUGCUUGAGCCGAUCGCGCUCUUUAGGAGUUAGGCCACUUAGAGGCGACAUCUUGGUGGACACGGAGGAAGCCAGUUUUAGUCAGAUGGGAAAAGUAGCUAAAAGUGGGAGGAGACUGGGGCGAGGGUGGGACGUGGGGGAGGCGGGGGCGUGACGGCGGCUCUCCACUGCCCUGAGGCUUGAGGGGCCCCGGGAAACCCGGGCCCGGCUGGGGUUGGGACUCUGUUCUUCCGCGUUCAUAGCUACGAUUCAGCUGUUCUGGAAUGAGAACUGGAUUUUUACUGAACUUUACGAACAGGCUCAACAGGAUGUAACCAUUCAGUGUGGAGGCAUGAGAAACUAUAGCUUGUAAAUUAAAAGAAAAACCUCAUUUCUUUAGACAACAUUUUCAGCUCCAUCUGCUGGUCUGAGGCUGAAUAAUUAAUUGAAAAGCCAGGAGAGAAAUGGGGCUAGAUGAAGUGAGGUAGUUUAACCUGUGCUUUCUUGGCGUCCCGUCGGCUCCCUUUGCUUGCAUUCCUAAGAGAAUCUUGGUCUCAGAUUUCAGGACAAGUGGAAAACAGUUGGGCUAUUUAGUAUAGGCCACCCCUUCCCCCCCGCACCCUCUCCCCCCACACACUUCAGUUAAGUAGGUGGAAAGUUUGGAUUAUUAAAAAGACACGUUGGAGGCUGAGCAGAGAGUGUGAAAGAGCAUUUUCGGGGCUUUGUGAACUAACAUGGCCUUUUGAACCCCAAGGCAGUGAUACUUGGAUUGAUCUAAAUCAGCGUGGAUGGAAUGGAAGUGGGAAUGCGUUGAUUUACUGCACGCUCAGUAGUUUGGAUGCUGUGCUGCUUUUGUUUCCUGUAUAAUAAGCCCCUUUAAUUUGUUUCACAUAACUUAUUGGGGGAGGUACCAUUAUUUCUGAUUUUAUAGACAAGGAGGCUGACAAAGAACCAUCCUGGUGUCACAGGGUCGAUUCAUACCUAGAAAAGUAUGAAGAUUCAUACCUAGAAAAAUUAGAAGAACAUUAAUGCAGCUCCAAGGCCUUUUAAAAAUGCGAGACUUUAGCUUUGAAAGGCAGCUGUUCUGCCUUUUAGGUUUGUGGGGUCUGCCUUUUAGGUUAGGGUCCUUUUAGGUUUGUGUCUCCAGCAUAUAAAAUUGUGCCUGACCCAAAGCAAGGGCUCAAUAAAUACUGUUUGAAUGAACAGACAAACCUGGGUUCAAAUCAUGCUCCUCAACUGCACAGUUGUGAUGAUCUGUCCUCAACACUCACUCCCUGCUCUCUUUGGAAGCAACCCUGGCUUUUAUUCCCCCUAUUUGUAGCAGGACAAGCCGCAGACAAAACCCCUCAGAAACCAAGUUAAAGAAGGAAGGGCUUUAUUCGGCCAGGGAACUUCAGCAAGACUCACGUCUCCAACAACCGAACUCCCCAAGUGAGCAAUUCCUGUCCCUUUUAAGGGCUCACAACUCUAAGGGGGUCCACGUGAGAGGGUCAUGAUCAAUUGAGCAAGCAGUGGGUAUGUGACUGGGGCUGCAUGCACAGGUAAUUAGAACGGAACAGGACAGGACAGGGAUCUUCACAGUGCCUUUUUUAUGCAAACAACCAAUUAGGUCAGGAGUCAAUCUUUACCAGGCCCAGGGUGUGGCGCUGGGCUGUCUGCUUGUGGAUUUCAUUUCUGCCUUUUAGUUUUUACUACUUUUUUCUUUGGAGGCAGAAAUUGGGCAUAAGACAAUAUGAGGGGUGGUCUCCUCCCUUACUAUGAUCCUGGAGUUUGGGGAGGUCAGAGACAUCCCUGGUUCCAAAGGACACACGACUGGCACUGUAUGCGUUGAGCACAGCUGAGGGUGGUCGGAGGCCCAAUUAGGGCCACUGAGCCUGGAGGUGUUUGCUGAAGGAUUCUGGGGAAGGAGAUUUUUCUCCCUUCCCUUCUGGACUCACAGUGUGUGGAUAGCACUGUUGCAGCCAUCUUGCUGCCCUGAGUGGUAGACCCUUGAUGAGGCAGACAGGAAAGCUGGGAAGAAAUCAGGCUCUUGAUGACUAUGUUGGGAGUCAAAUCAUCCCUCAAGUUUGGACUUUUCAGUUUCAAGAGCCAGGAAAUCCUUUUAUCUUUUGUACUAUUUAAAAUUGGGCAUAAGCAUAAAGUUAUUUGCAACCUGACUAGUGUGGCUUAAGCAUUAGCAGGGUGGCUGUGGCAAGUGAGUUAGCCUCUUUGAGGCUCAGCUGCCUCCUCUGUAGAAUAGGGGCAAUGGUCAUAUCCAUCUCCUCGGGCUGACGUGAAGAGCGAACGAAACAAUGCAUGCUAAGUGCUUCAUAUGGGGCCGAGCAUGAAGUAGCAUCCAGAAAGCGUUGGGAAAGCAGAAUCAUGCUUUGACAUUUUGCAUCUAUAGCAACUUCCUUAUUUGCCAACAAUCCCUCCAAUGACUGGCUUUUAAACUUGGAAGAAGUGUAUUGACAAAUUGGUGGGAUUUGUCACCAAAUUGCAUGGGCCCUUCUGAAGAUGAGCCCAGUGGUCCCAUGUGCAGCGUGGAGUCCGUCCAGGGAGGAAGGGCACAUCUGGUCACACAGGCAGAGUCCUUGGCAGCUCUGAUGACAGGCUUGAUUUAAGGAUCUUUAAGUCUGUAAAUAGAGGAUUGAUCUUUUCCCUCAUUGUCAAUGUUGUUCUCUGGCGCAGGAUCUUAACAGCAUUUGUUUGCCAUGAGAGGCUGCAUGACUUGGAGCCAGUCAAUCUACGGUGACAGCAAAGCAGUUGUGACUCUAAUGUACUGCCACCAAAAACACUUUCUUUUCCGUCUCUCAGCCUUAGCAGGAUCAUCUGAGCCACUGCCAGUUCAGAGUGAGCUGGGGCUGCUUUUCCAGGAGGGCAGUUGGGGACCUGACUUUUGAGGAGAUUCUGAGGUUUACUGAAGGAGCAAACCCUAUGGGGUUAGACAGAGUUUUGUGAAAUCUGAGCUCUGCCUUCUCUGUACUUCAGUUACUGCCUCUGUAAAAUGGGGGUGUGGACACUGUAGACAUUAAAUGGCAGUGUAUAAAGGAGGCACCAUCUGGAGCAUUUGUCCAGCCUGCAAUGAUGCCGUUUGUCUGAGAAGGUUGUAGGGAUCAUUUCUGGUUUGAAUCUCAGCCCUCUUCCCAGCUCAGCCACCAGCCAUCUGGAAUUGUGGGAGAGGUCAGACGGCUGCAAAGCCUCUAUGUGGAAUUGGAACUAAAUACACAUAUUUAUCAGUAUUUAAUGGAAGACUGCAGGAUGCUUGCAGAGUCUACAGAAGGCACUGGUAAGGUGGCUCUUUUAGUCUGGGAACAAGAACUGGGCAAUGGAUGCCUCAGAGGCUGAGUUGGACUGACAGAGCUGUGACCAGUGUCUAGAACCUGGGAUUCUCCACUAAAGUCAGAUUCUCAGGAGAGAGUUGGAUUGGCCCAACUUCAGUCAUGUGCCACCCCUCUGCUGCCCAGGAGGGAUGGGUGGCUUGAGGGACAGUCCUGCCAAAAACACCUGGGGAGGAAGUUUCUCAAAAGAAGUAAUGUGGAGGAGCUGUUCCCAAAGGAAGCGGGGGAUUCUGAGAAGGCAGGAAUAACUGAGGCCAUGAGCACAGACAGAGGAUGAAGCAGAGGUCAAGGUCAUGUGACCAGAGGAGAGAACUGGAGCAAGACAUGUAUGCACACACACAUGCACACAUGGACACUCACAUAUGCACACUUACAUGUACACAUGCACACUUACAUGUACACAUGCGUACACACGAGCUAUGGAGAAUGGUUGCCUUGAUUCCUUACUAUGAUGGAUUACAUUUUCUGAAAAUGGACACAAAAUAAAUUUCUGGUCCCAUGUCCUCAUCUGGAACCUUACCUUGCCACCCGCUGUCAGGACAUGGUGUUGAGUCCUUCCCUUGAUCAGGGAGGCCUUUGUGACUGUGUGAGCUCAGGCUAAAUGGUGUUACAUGUCUGCCAAGGUUGGCCUGUAAAAGGAGAUACAGCCGGUGCUGCUCUCUAGCUAUACAUGUGCCUGGAGCCCAGUGCUGUGCUGCAAGCAAAGCCCAACUCCAGCUGAGCCACCCCACAGCAACGCGUGCCCAGUAGCCAGUUGUGUGGCUUGUGUGAACCACCGUGGUCCUAGGUUGGCAAGGCUUGAAGAGAAAUGAGCCUACCCUGCCUUGCCCCACCCAAACUGCAGAUUUGUGGGCAAAAUAAAUGAUUGUUGUCAUGCUAACCCACUAAGUUUUGUAGUGGUCUGCUAUGCAGCAAGACAGAGUUCUUACUCAUUACUUUCCUUCUCCAAGUCCUUGCUGUGGUCCUGCCCCAAGGUUCCAGGGAAUAGCCUAGUGCUGGCAAUAACUCCUUUUUAAUUUAUGUCUGACCUGGGUUUGCCACUUGCUGCUAAUGGAACCUUGAAAAUAGGGCCCCUUGGCUGGGUGCGAUGGCUCAUGCCUGUAAUCCCAGCACUUUGGGAGGCCGAGGUGGGCACAUCAUGAGGUCAGGAGUUUGAGACCAGCCUGGCCAACAUGGUGAAACCUUGUCUCUACUAAA